rnacentral:rRNA from 1 species
AGAGUUUGAUCAUGGCUCAGGAUGAACGCUAGCGGCAGGCUUAACACAUGCAAGUCGAGGGGCAGCAUGAGACGGAGAUUCGUCGAAGUCUUGAUGGCGACCGGCGCAAGGGUGCGUAACGCGUGAGCAACUUGCCCGUUUCAGGGGGAUAACCGGUGGAAACGCCGACUAAUACCCCAUGGUAUGUUUUAAAGGCAUCUUUUGAACAUUAAAGAAUUUCGGAAACGGAUAGGCUCGCGUGACAUUAGCUAGAUGGCGGGGUAACGGCCCACCAUGGCGACGAUGUCUAGGGGUUCUGAGAGGAAGGUCCCCCACACUGGAACUGAGACACGGUCCAGACUCCUACGGGAGGCAGCAGUGAGGAAUAUUGGUCAAUGGUCGAGAGACUGAACCAGCCAUGCCGCGUGAAGGUCACGGCCCUAUGGGUCUUAAACUUCUUUUGUAAGGGAGCAAUAAGUCCCACGUGUGGGAUGAUGAGAGUACCUUACGAAUAAGCAUCGGCUAACUCCGUGCCAGCAGCCGCGGUAAUACGGGGGAUGCAAGCGUUACCCGGAUUUAUUGGGUUUAAAGGGUGCGUAGGCGGUCUGGUAAGUCAGCGGUGAAAUUCAGGGGCUCAACCUCUGCCGUGCCGUUGAUACUGCUGGACUAGAAUGCGGAUGCCGUGGGAGGAAUGUGUGGUGUAGCGGUGAAAUGCAUAGAUAUCACACAGAACACCGAUUGCGAAGGCAUCUCACGAAUCCGCAAUUGACGCUGAGGCACGAAAGCGUGGGGAUCAAACAGGAUUAGAUACCCUGGUAGUCCACGCUGUAAACGAUGAUGACUAACCGUCGGCGAUACACUGUCGGUGGCCAAGCGAAAGCGAUAAGUCAUCCACCUGGGGAGUACGACCGCAAGGUUGAAACUCAAAGGAAUUGACGGGGGCCCGCACAAGCGGAGGAACAUGUGGUUUAAUUCGAUGAUACGCGAGGAACCUUACCCGGGCUCGAACGGCAGGGGAAUGGACCAGAGAUGGUCCAGUCUUCGGACUCCUGUCGAGGUGCUGCAUGGUUGUCGUCAGCUCGUGCUGUGAAGUGUCGGCUUAAGUGCCAUAACGAGCGCAACCCUUGCCAUUAGUUGCCAUCAGGUAAAGCUGGGGACUCUAGUGGGACUGCCACCGCAAGGUGUGAGGAAGGGGGGGAUGACGUCAAAUCAGCACGGCCCUUACGUCCGGGGCGACACACGUGUUACAAUGGUGGGUACAGAGGGAAGCUACCUGGCGACAGGAUGCAGAUCUCGAAAACCCAUCCCAGUUCGGAUUGGAGUCUGCAACCCGACUCCAUGAAGUUGGAUUCGCUAGUAAUCGCGCAUCAGCCAUGGCGCGGUGAAUACGUUCCCGGGCCUUGUACACACCGCCCGUCAAGCCAUGGAAGCCGGGGGCGCCUGAAGUUCGUGACCGCGAGGAGCGACCUAGGGCGAAACUGGUGACUGGGGCUAAGUCGUAACAAGGUAGCCGUACCGGAAGGUGUGGCUGGAACACCUCCUU